rnacentral:rRNA from 1 species
GAUGAACGCUGGCGGCGUGCCUAAUACAUGCAAGUCGAGCGAACCAAAGAGAGCUUGCUCUCUGAGGUUAGCGGCGGACGGGUGAGUAACACGUGGGUAACCUGCCUGUAAGACGGGGAUAACUUCGGGAAACCGAAGCUAAUACCGGAUGAUAAAGAGAAACGCCUGUUUCUCUUUUGAAAGUCGGCCUUGUGCUGACGCUUACAGAUGGGCCCGCGGCGCAUUAGCUAGUUGGUGAGGUAACGGCUCACCAAGGCGACGAUGCGUAGCCGACCUGAGAGGGUGAUCGGCCACACUGGGACUGAGACACGGCCCAGACUCCUACGGGAGGCAGCAGUAGAGAAUCUUCGGCAAUGGACGAAAGUCUGACCGAGCAACGCCGCGUGAGCGAUGAAGGCCUUCGGGUCGUAAAGCUCUGUUGUCAGAGAAGAACAAGUACCGGAGUAACUGCCGGUACCUUGACGGUACCUGGCCAGAAAGCCACGGCUAACUACGUGCCAGCAGCCGCCGUAAGAC